CGUCCGAUUAGCUUGUUGGUGGGGUAAUGGCUCACCAAGGCUUCGAUCGGUAGCUGGUCUUAGCGGACGAUCAGCCACAUUGGGACUGAGACACGGCCCAAACUCCUACGGGAGGCAGCAGUGGGGAAUAUUGGACAAUGGGCGGAAGCCUGAUCCAGCAAUGCCGCGUGUGUGAAGAAGGCCUGCGGGUUGUAAAGCACUUUCAGCUGGGAGGAAAAGCGUUGGGUUAAUACCCCAGCGUCUUGACGUUACCUGCAGAAGAAGCACCGGCUAACUCCGUGCCAGCAGCCGCGGUAAUACGGAGGGUGCAAGCGUUAAUCGGAAUUACUGGGCGUAAAGCGCGCGUAGGCGGUUCGGUAAGUCGGGUGUGAAAGCCCCGGGCUCAACCUGGGGAUUGCAUUCGAUACUGCUGGGCUAGAGUCUGGUAGAGGGUGGCGGAACUCCCGGUGUAGCGGUGAAAUGCGUAGAUAUCGGGAAGAACACCAGUGGCGAAGGCGGCCACCUAGACCAAGACUGACGCUGAGGUGCGAAAGCGUGGGGAGCAAACAAGAUUAGAUACCCUGGUAGUCCACGCCGUAAACGAUGAGGACUAGCCGUUGGGCCCAUUCAAGGGCUUAGUGGCGCAACUAACGCGUUAAGUCCUCCGCCUGGGGAGUACGGCCGCAAGGUUAAAACUCAAAGGAAUUGACGGGGGGCCCGCACAAGCGGUGGAACAUGGGGUUUUAAUUCGAUGCAACGCUAAAGAACCUUAACUGCCCUUGAACUCCCUCGAAACUUGGCAAAGACCCCUUGGUGCCCUU
rnacentral:rRNA from 1 species